GGUGGGUGAUGUUGAUGUGGACACCGAGAAACUUGAAGCUCUCAACCUGCUCCACUACAGCCCCGUCGAUGAGAAUGGGGGUGUGCUCAGUCAUACUUUUCCUGUAGUCCACAAUCAUCUCCUUAGUCUUGUCUACGUUGAGGGAUAGGUUGUUUGCUCUUUUGGUCCUGGGCUGAAGAGGUCAGUGUUUAGGUUUCAUUUACACUCCCAGGGGUUUGUGAACUUCAUGACAUUUAUCUGCGGUGCACAUUAGGCCUACAUGGAGAUGUGAUGAUGUUAUAUUCUUCCCUUAGAGUGUCUAGCAGCAUGUCAUGUUAUUUACUUGUUAGUACUCUGCGAAUUGUUCCGCGUCAUUGUCACAGCAAUGUGUUUUGUUUUGACUGAAUACAGAACUUUCAUUAGAACACUGAAUUGCUACAUGUACCUCAAACCCCAUGUAGAUGGAUGGAGUUGUUUUCCCUCCUCAGAUUCAGACCCUCUAGGAGGGAAACCCCUGUAAACACCGGCAGAGCAGAGCCCUGUGCCAGCGACACACUCCAAUGCUGCUGAACCUCACCACAGAGAAGGGCCAACAGCAAACACCAUGCAGGCCUGCACGCAGAACCCUCAGACACUUAACACUCUGACUAGCCAUUCAUAUUAAACACAGACUUGGCCUACAGUAACACUUAAACAGCUUGUAAAGUAAGUGGUUAUUACAGCCACUGUAUCUGACUGUGUGUUUAUGUACAGCGCCACCUGGUGAGGGAAGAGUGAGGCUCAGCCUCAACCUGCCCAUCAUCAACCCAUAGAGACUGCAGACAGCCAAAGUACUGGUGGAGUACAGCUGGAGCUGUAAAGACAGCCCAGAGAGACAGACCCAGAUGACAAUAAAGGGAAAGGGGAUACCUAGUCAGUUGCACAACUGAAUGCAUUCAACCAAAAUGUGUCUUUUAACAAGGUGCAAGGGGCUGCCUUGAUUGACGUCAUCGGUGCCCAGGGAGCAGUUGUUGUUGGGGGUUAACUGCCUUGCUCAAGGGUGUGUGGCUUAUAUUUUCAUUUGAUCAAUUCUUGUAGCACAACGUUUUUGUGGAUUUUCUCCACUCAUCUUUUUGACAGUCGGACUAAACGACUGCUCAUCUUUUUAAUGGGGACGAAACGUCAUAUUUCUAUUGGAUGACACAUAGAGAGACAAUCGACAGCCGCUCAUUACAAAAGGAGCAGAUGACCAAUCACUAUGCCAAAGCAGGCACCUUCACCACCAAGGUUGCAUGACUUUCACAGGGGAGGCCCUGAAAAGAAUACACUCUUUACCUUUUCACUGUGAUCAUUUGGUUUGAUGCUGCAGACCCUGACUCGUUAUAUCCACGCUGCUACAGGCUGGGGGCAGAGGAUGAGAAACAUGAGUUUAGCGGUCAGAAUCCUCACCACUCUCUAUCCCAAACCCUCUUUCUCUGAUCUUCCUGUUUCCCUCCUCUAACGGAAUGCGUCACUUCAUUAGUCUUGGUGGGAUUUACAGUACUGCCUUUUCAUCCCUUUAGUUUUCCAUACUUUUCUCCGACCCCGAUUUAUCUGACUAUACCCCUCUGUUCAUAUUCCUCUUCUUACCUCCCACCUUUCAUUUGAGGAAUCUCUAACUCCAGGGAGG
ensembl:lncRNA